UUUUUGGAGAGUUUGAUCCUGGCUCAGGAUGAACGCUGGCGGCGUGCCUAAUACAUGCAAGUCGAGCGGAAAGGCCUCUUCGGAGGUACUCGAGCGGCGGACGGCUGAGUAACGCGUAGGAAC
rnacentral:rRNA from 1 species